rnacentral:rRNA from 1 species
UGCCUUGUUGUUGUUGUUGUUGUUGUUGUUGGGUAUCAACAACAGCACCACCAGCAGCAGAAAAAUGGGUAGCUCGAAGCAAGAACGAGUCUCUUUUCUCGAUCGACGACCUCAGAGCAGAGCAGGCAAAACA